UACGUAGGGUCCGAGCGUUAAUCGGAAUUACUGGGCGUAAAGCGUGCGCAGGUGGUUUUGUAAGCCAGAUGUGAAAUCCCCGGGCUCAACCUGGGAACUGCAUUUGGGACUGCAAGGCUAGAGUACGGCAGAGGGAGGUGGAAUUCCAGGUGUAGCAGUGAAAUGCGUAGAGAUCUGGAGGAACACCGAUGGCGAAGGCAGCCUCCUGGGCUAGUACUGACGCUCAAGCACGAAAGCGUGGGGAGCAAACAGG
rnacentral:rRNA from 1 species